UCUAUGUCGGCGACCGGCGCACGGGUGCGUAACGCGUAUGCAACCUACCCAUUACAGGGGGAUAACACUGAGAAAUCGGUACUAAUACCCCAUAACAUCCAGGGAGGCAUCUUCUUGGGUUGAAAACUCCGGUGGUAAUGGAUGGGCAUGCGUUGUAUUAGUUAGUUGGUGGGGUAACGGCUCACCAAGACAACGAUACAUAGGGGGACUGAGAGGUUAACCCCCCACAUUGGUACUGAGACACGGAUCAAACUCCUACGGGAGGCAGCAG
rnacentral:rRNA from 1 species